GAUGAAUUAAUCGAUCGUGUUCGGGGUGAUUUUGAAUUGGAUUGGGACUUAGAGAACCAUCAAUUGGCUGUGACUAAACAGCUUCGUAAGCGCUUUAAUGCCUUCCACCACCAACUGCAUCAGAUAUAUAUGUCAUAUGGCAGCCAUGACGAGGCAUUGGCGACUGGGACUAGUUUGGUCACCCCCCUAGUAUGGUUUAAGCUCUGUGAACGAUGGGGUAGCGAGGCCUUCCAGAAAAUAUCAAGUCAAAAUCGGGACAAUAGAAGGAUGCUGAAAAUUAAC